ACUUCGCGGUCUCACAUUACUAAACUAUCGGUCAUCACUAAUGAUAACAAAAACGUAAACAAAGCAAAUUGACGAAAAAAUGGAUUACAUUUGGUGGCUAUCGAUGUCCUAGCCAAGCGCUCCCACCCAUCCAUGGAUGCCCUCAAGAUGCUGCAGGGCACCACCCAUUCGCAGUCGGCAGGAGCCCCCUCCUCGCGACUACGACUACGGUUCCAUCUCCCUCACUGGGAAAACUUACUCACACAUAGUGGGUAUUACAAAGGUUUAAUAAAUAUCCCUUUAAGACCGAAACCUGGCCGCCGUCUCGGAUAUUUACGCGGUCAAAGCAGAGGAUUCGUUUUGCAGGAAAAGGGUACAGGCGCCGCGGAAAUUAUGCUCUACCAGCCAUAUAUUGGUAGAGCUCGCAUGGAAACGCGGCCCUCAAAGGAACAUGCGCGAAGCGGGUGUGUAUGGUCACCUAAUCCUGAGGAGCUCCAGGGGAAAAGAAGGGACAGGCCAAAAAGUUUAGGCAAACAACGAGGACAAAUAAGGCUCUCGGGUCUAACUCCGGAUAAACUCACAAACAGCCACCGUCGGGCCGGGCCUGGAGGCGAGAUAGCCCGGGCUGAUGACUUUCCGCCGGAGGCCAGCAGCGAUACGGAUCUCCACACGGGAAAACGGCGCUCUACGGUGAGUUGUGUAAGGGCAGUCCGAGAUUCGGCUGCCAGACAAAAUGGCGAUACUUCUCAGCGCCGCAAUUCGACCGAUGGAAGUUCCCGAUAUGAGGAGGACGCGGUACGCCGGAACGGACUCACCGGGAAAUGUUGACGUCGUCGGCGUCGACUGUGGAAGGCCUUUCUGGAUGGUCGUUGGCCGGGUCGAACGGACACCGGUUGCUGGGCAGCCAAGUCGGGCUGCUGCAUCUGUCUUGAUCGUUGGACAGUAUGGCCGCGACUAUCACGAUAUCUGCUGAUCAUCGCCCCCCGCCAUAUUACAUGGCCUCUCUCAACAUUGGGUCAUUGGAUACAUGGGUCAUUUGAAGUAAUCCCAGAGCGAACCGGGAUUAAUCUUCAAAUGGCCAGAUCGCCCGCCAGACUCAUCCCGCUGCUGCAGCUAUCGCCCUAUCGACCUAACCUAUCGAUAACGUCGCUCCCACUCGACUCCAAUUGCAACACAAGUUUGGGAGGUGAUAGCGCCUUCAAAUAUAUUUUACUUUAUAUAAAUAAUGUGCGUUCUGGUGCAACAUAUGUAAAGUUUUGCCACGAAGGACAUCAGCUGAAAGUUGGUAAUUUCUAUAAAACAAAAACGGCAAUUUUUAUUUUUCUAGAUAAGAUCCGAGCUGUUGAUCCUUAGUGUUGGGCCAACAACAAUUACCUUUUAACAGCUGACUUGUGCCACUAAAAUGCAUUUCCGUCGCAAAAAAAUACCAAAACGGCUUGAAUAAAAGUCACCUAACCUCGUAAAAUAUACUGAAUAAGAACAUUGAAAUACUGCACUGUUUGGUGUGUGCGGACCCAUUUUCCGCUGAUGCGAGCUGUAGCGACUGUUUGCCUUCACUUUUUAGCACGUGUAUUUCUUAUGGAAGAAAAAGUCGCUGAAUCGGAAACACCCACCGUGUGAGUAGCAAUUUUGAUUGGUCAGCGCUGAUUACUGGAUUGUAUUUGUUUUAUUUAAAUUUUACACUGGGACGGUCCACAUUUGCUUAAAAAUUUGUUAGGACCUACUUUUAUUUCAAAUUAAGGUAUACCAAACUAAACUUUUUGGAAAAUCCACAGGGAUCCAUCCACCAUCUGCCAUCCGUUGAACGGAUGGUAAAUAAGGUUUUGCCGUUCCGAAUAUUUCCCAAUUAGUUCCCCAUCCAAAUUUGACGGACUCUUUUAUGCAACAGUUAGGCGAUGUUUUUUCGGUGCAACUAGGGUGCUUCUUUUUGACAGUGGAUAUUGAAACAUUCACUACGAAAACGUAAGCAAUGACGACAGGUUAUCGGAUGGUAGAUGGUGAAUGUGCUCUGUGGGAAUUGGAGUUUCACAUUUGAAAAUGGGAGGAGCUGAAGCAAGUGGAUUGGUUUGAUUAGCCACAUGUAUUCGGAUCAGCUGUUAUCGGAUGGUAGAUGGUGGAUCUGCUUAACCGCUUCGAACGGAUGGUCUCUAUGGCAAGAGGGUAAAGGGCUUGCGAAUUGGUUUCAAAGCUUAUAAGUCAUACGAGUCCAGGUUGAUCAAAUAUAUUAUUUCUAAUCAAAUGUCCCUGACUUGGAUGAAGAGUCCGUUGUGUCCAGUUCUGACUUUAGUUUUCCGUUCAAAGACAUUUCGCUACUUUUGGUCAAUUUUCUAUUCAUAAUGACCGAGAUACGCGUGUUGACAAAGUUGGGGAGGGGAAAUCGUACUUUUUGAAAAAAGUUUCGGCUGAUAUGUAGUAUGUAGUAUGAGUAAUUUUUAAAGAUACAUUGAGGAAGAUUCACUUACACUUUAAUCAAGCAAGUAAAAGGGCGAUAACCAGAUUUCAUUUUUUGGCCACCCUAUUGUAGAAAAUUAUUAUACAUUAACAACCGAAGCGGGAAGAAUCAUAAAUAGAAUUUAUCGAAUUAGUUUCAGAUUAAUAUGCGGUUUUUAAACACAGAUGAUUUCAAAGAAAAUAAAUCUAAAUAAAUUAACUCGUUCCCUUGAAAGCAUCACAAGUUUGCCUUGCAUUAGUGUGAGUGUAAAAAGCACGAAGUUGGCGCGCAGCGCGCUAAAGCCUGACGUUUCUCCGUUUUGCCUUGAGAAUCUCUGCCGCAGCAGCAAAAAUGCGCGCCGAAGAUGAGAAAAAAAAGACCCGAAGACCCAUGCCGAUGUCAUACGAACAUCUACGUUAUACGUGAGCGAGCAGCGGAUAGUCAAAACGAUUAAUAGUCCGCUGCCGACCGCUGCUUUAAAGUAACGAUAAAGUCGGAGUUUCACAUCUGUUAAACAUAACAACAUUUUCUUAGGAAUGGGUUGUGUGAAGAAG